UGGGGAAUAUUGGACAAUGGGGGAAACCCUGAUCCAGCGACGCCGCGUGUGUGAAGAAGGCCUGCGGGUUGUAAAGCACUUUCGGUGGGAACGAAAUAUGCCGGGCUAAUACCCCGGUAGGCUGACGUUACUCAAUGAAGAAGCACCGGCUAACUCUGUGCCAGCAGCCGCGGUAAUACAGAGGGUGCGAGCGUUAAUCGGAAUUACUGGGCGUAAAGCGCACGUAGGUGGCGACGUAAGUCGGGUGUGAAAUCCCCGGGCUCAACCUGGGAACCGCAUUCGAGACUGUGUUGCUGGAGUACAGAAGAGGAGGGCGGAAUUCCAAGUGUAGCAGUGAAAUGCGUAGAUAUUUGGAGGAACACCGAUGGCGAAGGCAGCCCCCUGGGCUAACACUGACGCUCAUGCACGAAAGCGUGGGGAGCAAACAGGAUUAGAUACCCGAGUAGUCCCUGAGCGGGCUGGCAAGGCGCAU
rnacentral:rRNA from 1 species